UCGAGCGGUAGAGAGAAGCUUGCUUCUCUUGAGAGCGGCGGACGGGUGAGUAAUGCCUAGGAAUCUGCCUGGUAGUGGGGGAUAACGUCCGGAAACGGACGCUAAUACCGCAUACGUCCUACGGGAGAAAGCAGGGGACCUUCGGGCCUUGCGCUAUCAGAUGAGCCUAGGUCGGAUUAGCUAGUUGGUGGGGUAAUGGCUCACCAAGGCGACGAUCCGUAACUGGUCUGAGAGGAUGAUCAGUCACACUGGAACUGAGACACGGUCCAGACUCCUACGGGAGGCAGCAGUGGGGAAUAUUGGACAAUGGGCGAAAGCCUGAUCCAGCCAUGCCGCGUGUGUGAAGAAGGUCUUCGGAUUGUAAAGCACUUUAAGUUGGGAGGAAGGGCAGUAAAUUAAUACUUUGCUGUUUUGACGUUACCGACAGAAUAAGCACCGGCUAACUCUGUGCCAGCAGCCGCGGUAAUACAGAGGGUGCAAGCGUUAAUCGGAAUUACUGGGCGUAAAGCGCGCGUAGGUGGUUCGUUAAGUUGGAUGUGAAAUCCCCGGGCUCAACCUGGGAACUGCAUUCAAAACUGACGAGCUAGAGUAUGGUAGAGGGUGGUGGAAUUUCCUGUGUAGCGGUGAAAUGCGUAUAUAUAGGAAGGAACACCAGUGGCGAAAGCGACCACCUGGACUGAUACUGACACUGAGUGCGAAAGCGUGGGGGGCAAACAGAUUAGAUACCCUGG
rnacentral:rRNA from 1 species